CUAUGACCGACAACUUUACAUUUUUGACACUUGUGUGUUUUAAAAGUACAGUCUUUGGAGAAAUAUUGCACAAGAGCAACCGUCCCAACGUCUGUGGUUUGAUUUUGCACCAUCGAAUUAUUCUGUUUAAGAUUAACCAUUCGUUGACAUUCGACGGCUAAAUCUUGAACGGAGUAAUCUGACCUUUGCUGCGUCGUCCAAUGCUUGGGCAUCAACGGAAAAUAAUCCUCGUUUCCAGGUCUACAGGUGCGGAUGAAGGAGCAUUGAGAAUCUUGGCGAUUUGUUUCGCAAAUUCCUGUUGCUGGGCAAUAAACUGCUGCUGCAUCAUCUGCUGAAAUUGCUGCUGUUGCUGCUGAAACUGCUGCUGUUGCUGCUGUUGCUGUUGCAACAACGGCGUUAAUAUCUCACGGAGACCUUCCAUAAUCCUCGUCGCCAAAAACUGUU